GCCGAAGUGGCGGAACUGGCAGACGCGCAUGGUUCAGGACCAUGUGGGGGCAACCCCGUGGGAGUUCGAGUCUCCCCUUCGGCACCA
rnacentral:tRNA from 1 species